rnacentral:rRNA from 1 species
AGUGAACGCUGGCGGUAGGCCUAACACAUGCAAGUCGAACGGCAGCACAGUAAGAGCUUGCUCUUACGGGUGGCGAGUGGCGGACGGGUGAGGAAUACAUCGGAAUCUACUUUUUCGUGGGGGAUAACGUAGGGAAACUUACGCUAAUACCGCAUACGACCUACGGGUGAAAGCAGGGGAUCUUCGGACCUUGCGCGAUUGAAUGAGCCGAUGUCGGAUUAGCUAGUUGGCGGGGUAAAGGCCCACCAAGGCGACGAUCCGUAGCUGGUCUGAGAGGAUGAUCAGCCACACUGGAACUGAGACACGGUACAGACUCCUACGGGAGGCAGCAGUGGGGAAUAUUGGACAAUGGGGGCGAGCCUGAUCCAGCCAUACCGCGUGGGUGAAGAAGGCCUUCGGGUUGUAAAGCCCUUUUGUUGGGAAAGAAAAGCAGCAGGUUAAUACCCCGCUGUUCUGACGGUACCCAAAGAAUAAGCACCGGCUAACUUCGUG